rnacentral:rRNA from 1 species
ACUCAUAUUUUUCCACAUUGCAAAGAUUUCUCCACGCUCGAUCUUAUCCGACCUCGGAAGCUAAACAGGGUCGGGCCUGGUUAGUACUUGGAUAGAAGACCACCUAGGAAGACAGGGUGCUGUAGGCA